rnacentral:rRNA from 1 species
UACGUAGGGGGCGAGCGUUGUCCGGAAUUAUUGGGCGUAAAGAGCGUGUAGGCGGUUCGGUAAGUCUGCCGUGAAAACCUGAGGCUCAACCUCGGGCGUGCGGUGGAUACUGCCGGGCUAGAGGACGGUAGAGGCGAGUGGAAUUCCCGGUGUAGCGGUGAAAUGCGCAGAUAUCGGGAGGAACACCAAUGGCGAAGGCAGCUCGCUGGGACGGUACUGACGCUGAGACGCGAAAGCUAGGGGAGCAAACGGG